CAGGAUUCCCUUAGUAACUGCGAGUGAAAUGGGAAAAGCUCAAAUUUUAAAUCUGGCAGUCAGUUUUUUCUUCUUUGGCUGUCUGAGUUGUAAUCUAGAGAAGUGCUUACCUGUACUGGACCGUGUAUAAGUCUCCUGGAAUGGAGUGUCACAGAGGGUGAGAAUCCCGUCUUUGACAUGGACUACCAGUGCGUUGUGGUGUGCUCUCAAAGAGUCGAGUUGUUUGGGAAUGCAGCUCUAAAUGGGUGGUAAACUCCAUCUAAAGCUAAAUAUUGGCGAGAGACCGAUAGUGAACAAGUACCGUGAGGGAAAGAUGAAAAGGACUUUGGAAAGAGAGUUAAACAGUAUGUGAAAUUGUUGAAAGGGAAACGUUUGAGGUCAGUUGUGUCGGCGAGGGAUCAACCCAGUCCUUUUUUUCUGGGUGAACUUCCUAGUCUGACAGGCCAACAUCAGUUUGGACUGCUGGAGAAAGGCGGAAGGAAUGUGGCACCCUUGGGUGUGUUAUAGCCUUCUGUCAGAUGUGGCAGUUGGGACUGAGGAAUGCAGCGUGCCGUAAGGCUGGGUUUCGACCAUGUUCAUGCUUAGGAUGUUGGCUUUUAAUGGCUUCAAUCGACCCGUCUUGAAACACGGACCAAGGAGUCUAACAUGCCUGCGAGUGUUUGGGUGAGGAAAACCCUUGUGCACAAUGAAAGUGAAGGUUGAGAUCCCUGUCAUGGGGAGCAUUGAUGCCCGGACCUGAGCUUUUAGCAAAGGAUCUGCGGUAGAGCAUGCAUGUUGGGACCCGAAAGAUGGUGAACUAUGCCUGAAUAGGGCAAAGCCAGAGGAAACUCUGGUGGAGGCUCGUAGCGAUUCUGACGUGCAAAUCGAUC
rnacentral:rRNA from 1 species